rnacentral:rRNA from 1 species
GUGGUCAAGCGAACAAGGGCGCACGGUGGAUGCCCUGGCGUCAGGAGGCGAUGAAGGACGUGGCAGGCUGCGAUAAGCUCCGGUGAGCCGCCUAACAGGCUUUGACCCGGAGAUUUCCGAAUGGGGCAACCCCCCGCGGCAAACCCGCGGGAUCCGGCACUGAAUACAUAGGUGCCGGAAGCCAACGAGGGGAACUGAAACAUCUAAGUACCCUCAGGAAGAGAAAGCAACCGCGAUUCCCCCAGUAGUGGCGAGCGAACGGGGAUCAGCCUAAACCCGGCUUAUGCCAAGCCCGCAAGCGUUGUAGGCCGGGGGUUGCGGGUUCUGUUCGGGCGGAUUUGCGGAUCCGCCGGGAAGUCAAAAACCGGUACCGUAGUCGAAGCGGCUGGAAAGCCGAUCCAUAGAGGGUGAUAGGCCCGUAGGCGAAACGGCACCGGCUUCCUGGAACAGACACCCAAGUACCGCGGGGCACGAGAAACCCCGCGGGAAUCCGGGAGGACCAUCUUCCAAGGCUAAAUACUACCUGACGACCGAUAGCGCACUAGUACCGUGAGGGAAAGGUGAAAAGAACCCCAGCGAGGGGAGUGAAAUAGAACCUGAAACCGUGUGCCUACAAACAGUGGUAGCCCUAUGCCGGCGGCUUGCCGUCGACAGGGUGACCGCGUGCCUUUUGCAUAAUGAGUCAGCGAGUUACCUUACGUGGCAAGGUUAAGCCGGAAGGCGGAGCCGUAGCGAAAGCGAGUCCUAAUCGGGCGACAUAGUCACGUGGGGUAGACCCGAAACCAGGUGAUCUACCCAUGGCCAGGAUGAAGCAGGUGUAAAAGCCUGUGGAGGUCCGAACCGGUGUUGGUUGAAAACAGCUCGGAUGAGCUGUGGGUAGGGGUGAAAGGCUAAUCAAACCUGGAAAUAGCUGGUUCUCCCCGAAAUAUAUUUAGGUAUAGCCUCGGGGCAUUCAGUGACGGGGGUAGAGCACUGGAUGGGCUAGGGGACCUACCAGUCUACCAAACCCAACCAAACUCCGAAUACCGUCAACUGCUAUCCCGGGAGUCAGUCUACGGGCGAUAAGGUCCGUGGUCGAAAGGGAAACAACCCAGAUCGCCAGCUAAGGCCCCAAAAUAUGUGCUAAGUGGAAAAGGAUGUGGAAACGCUAAGACAGCCAGGAGGUUGGCUUAGAAGCAGCCAUCCUUUAAAGAAAGCGUAACAGCUCACUGGUCGAGUGGGUCCGCGCCGAAAAUUCAUCGGGGCUCAAGCACAUUGCCGAAGCUGCGGGUGGCCUUCGCAAGAAGGUCGCGGUAGGGGAGCGUUCCAUUGUAGGUCGAAGCCGGACCGUAAGGACCGGUGGACGAACUGGAAGUGCUUAUGCUGACACAAGUAGCGAUAAAGCGGGUGAAAAACCCGCUCGCCGUAAGCCUAAGGGUUCCUGGGGAAGGUUAAUCCGCCCAGGGUUAGUCGGAUCCUAAGGUGAGGCCGAAAGGCGUAACCGAUGGAAAACAGGUUAAUAUUCCUGUACCACCAUUUCCGCGCUAUUACCGAAGGGGGGACGCAGAAGGGUAGGUGAGCCAGCUGACGGACGUGCUGGUCCAAGCCGGUAGGGGGGCUUCCCAGGAAAAUCCGGGAAGCCGUUAUCUCCGAGAGGUGAUGGGGAGGGGCUUCGCCCCGCAAACUCACUGAUCCCACGCUGCCGAGAAAAGCCUCGUAGGGAGUUGGAAUGGUGUCCGUACCGUAAACCGACACAGGUGGGCAAGGAGAAUAUCCUAAGGCGCUCGAGUGAUCCCUCGUUAAGGAACUCGGCCAAUUACCCCCGUAACUUCGGGAAAAGGGGGGCCCUUUGGGGUGAGGAGACUUGCUCUCCAGGCUUCAGGGGGCCGCAGAGAAAUGGCCGCGGCGACUGUUUACUAAAAACACAGGACUCUGCUAAGUCGUGAAGACGACGUAUAGGGUCUGACGCCUGCCCGGUGCCGGAAGGUUAAGGGGCGAUGUCAGGGGGGCAACCCCCGAAGCUUCAAACCGAAGCCCCGGUAAACGGCGGCCGUAACUAUAACGGUCCUAAGGUAGCGAAAUUCCUUGUCGGGUAAGUUCCGACCUGCACGAAUGGCGUAACGAUCGCGGCACUGUCUCAACGAGGGGCUCGGCGAAUCUGAAAUACCGGUGAAGAUGCCGGUUACCCGCACCUAGACGGAAAGACCCCGUGCACCUUCACUGCAACUUGGCAUUGGAUUUUGGAAUAGCUUGUGUAGCAUAGGUGGGAGGCUUUGAAACCGGGGCGCUAGCUCCGGUGGAGCCAACAGUGAAAUACCACCCUGGUUGUUCCGGAAUUCUAACCUGGGCCCGUAAUCCGGGCCGGGGACAAUGCCUGGUGGGCAGUUUGACUGGGGCGGUCGCCUCCCAAAGAGUAACGGAGGCGCGCGAAGGUUCCCUCAGGCUGAUUGGAAACCAGCCGACGAGUGUAAAGGCAUAAGGGAGCUUGACUGCGAGACUGACAAGUCGAGCAGGUGCGAAAGCAGGUCUUAGUGAUCCGGUGGUUCCGCAUGGAAGGGCCAUCGCUCAACGGAUAAAAGGUACGCCGGGGAUAACAGGCUUAUCUCCCCCAAGAGUUCACAUCGACGGGGAGGUUUGGCACCUCGAUGUCGGCUCAUCGCAUCCUGGGGCUGAAGUAGGUCCCAAGGGUUUGGCUGUUCGCCAAUUAAAGCGGUACGUGAGCUGGGUUUAAAACGUCGCAAGACAGUUUGGUCCCUAUCUGGUGUGGGCGUUGGAGACUUGAAGGGAGCUGUCCCUAGUACGAGAGGACCGGGAUGGACGCACCGCUAGUGUACCAGUUGUUCCGCCAGGGGCAUCGCUGGGUAGCUAUGUGCGGAAGGGAUAACCGCUGAAAGCAUCUAAGUGGGAAACCCGCCCUGAGAUGAGGUCUCCCGGGGCUAUAAGCCCCCUGAAGGGCCCUCGUAGACUACGAGGUUGAUAGGCCGGGUGUGUAAGCGCAGCGAUGCGUUUAGCUGACCGGUACUAAUCGCCCGUGAGGCUUGACCACUAU